rfam:Escherichia vulneris NBRC 102420 DNA, contig: EV10242029.
AAAUCUUGUGUCGUUAGCAAAAACUGUGAUAACUCUUUAGGUAUUCCUUCGAACAAGAAGCCAGAAAGUACAGAAAAUGACAGCCCUUCUACGAGUGAUUAGCCUGGUCGUGAUUAGCGUGGUGGUGAUUAUUAUCCCACCGUGCGGGGCUGCACUUGGACGAGGAAAGGCUUAAAAAACAAGCCUUAACGAACUAAGACCCCCGCACCGAAAGGUCCGGGGGUUUUUUUAUGGCCUUAAAACAACAGCGAGGAGCAAAGAAUGGGUUGUAGCACAAAAUUCUGUUUCUCACGAUUUAC